AACUAUUAAAAGGGAAAUAAGACAUGGCACAAGGAAAAGCAAAUGAUACCCGUAAGUCACGUAAGGUUCGACAAGGUGAAGCAUGUUCAUUGUUGCCUUGUUUACUUUAAG